rnacentral:lncRNA from 1 species
CUUAGAUGUUCUAUUAUAUCUAAACUAAACCUAACAUGCAUUAACUUAUCUUAAUCUAAAACAAAAUAAAUUAAAAUUUCCUUGGAGUCUCGGAUUUGAGAGCUUACCGGUAGGAUGCUAGGUUUGAUGUUUGAAGAGAUCCUCUCAGUUCACCGUGUUUGGGUAGCGGUUUGAAUGUCUAGCCAUGCAUGGUCCAUGUGAGGUAUGGUUAACUGUACCAAAACAAUGAGGUAAAAGGAUGGGAAAGGUUACUUGAGGGUUAACUUCAUGGGGACCCCAUAAGUCAUGGCCACCGUCUAGUUCCUCUUCCCUUUUUUUCCUCUCGGUUGUUGUGCUCCAGCGAUGACGUUCCUCCCUUUAUAAGUCAAACU